CGGUCACUAGAUAUCCAGCGGGGAAAGAAGACCCUGUAGAGCUUCACUUUGGUCUAGUCUUGUAUAGUUCCUGCGGGGGUGUAGACUAGGUGGGAGAGCAAUCGAUUCUGAAAAACCACUACCCUGUUUGGAAUUAUGCUUACCUAUCACAAGGAAUAGGACUAGAUAGAAAGUUUGGCUGGGGCGGCACACCUUCGAAAGAGCAGCGAAGGUGUCCUAAGUUGAGCUCAGUGAGGACAGAAAUCUCACGUUGAGGAUAAGGCCAAAAGCUCAAUUUACUGUGCCUUUUUGUACUAGGAUCAGUUACGAAAGUAAGGCCUAACGAUCCCUAAAUAGCCUCAGGUGCGUGAGGAUUGGGGUGACAGACAAGUUACCUCCGGGACAACUGGCUUGUGGCUGCUAAGAGAUCAAAUCAACGCAGCUUUUUGAUUCUUCGAUGUCGGCUCUUCCUAUCCUAGUGAUGUACAAGUUGCUAAGGGUCGGAUUGUUCACCCGUAUUAGGGAUCGUGAGCUGGGUUUAGACCGUCGUGAGCCAGGUUUGUUUUAUCCUACUGGAUAUAGCAUCAUGAUAGUAGAUUGAUUUAGUACGAGAGGAACUGUUGAUUAUGGCCUCUGGUUAGCGAUUAUCGGAAACGGUAUGUCGCGCAGCUACGCCGUCUGGGAUAAUGGCUGAAAGCCUCUUAAGCCAGAAGCCCAUCUAGAAAGUGAUGCACGUGAUGUUGGACCGAUACGAAUAAUCAUACUCAAAAGGUCCGCUUCAUAGGUAACCCAAUGUAGAAGACAUUGUGUGAACGAAGGUACUGUAAGCAGUGGAGUGGCAUUACGUCCACGACCUGUUGAGGUUCAGCUUCGCUUCUAGGUUUCC
rfam:Trichomonas vaginalis G3, whole genome shotgun sequence.